rnacentral:rRNA from 1 species
UACGUAGGGUGCAAGCGUUAAUCGGAAUUAUUGGGCGUAAAGGGUGCGCAGGCGGAUGUAUAAGUCAGAUGUGAAAUCCCCGGGCUUAACCUGGGAAUUGCGUUUGAAACUAUAUGACUAGAGUGUGGUAGAGGGGAGUGGAAUUCCAUGUGUAGCAGUGAAAUGCGUAGAGAUGUGGAAGAACACCGAUGGCGAAGGCAGCUCCCUGGAUUAACACUGACGCUCAUGCACGAAAGCGUGGGGAGCAAACAGGAUUAGAUACCCUGGUAGUCCACGCCCUAAACGAUGUCAACUAGUUGUCGGAUCUGUUAAAAGAUUUGGUAACGGAGCUAACGCGUGAAGUUGACCGCCUGGGAAGUACGGUCGCAAGAUUAAA